AUGAGUGAUAAAAAGGUUUUACAGCAAUUCUUAGGAAUUGUAAACUAUGCGCGAAACUAUAUAGAUAACUUAGGAAAGCUAGCAGGACCUUUAUAUGAUAAAUUAAGGAAAAAUGGUCAAAAAUACUUCAAUUCUGAAGAUAUAAAAUUAGUAAAGGCCAUCAAGGAAAAGGUCAAGAAUUUAAAACCCCUAGAAUUGCCUCUAGAAGACAAUUAUUUUAUAAUUGAAACAGAUGCAUCUAAGGUAGGAUGGGGUGCGAUACUAAAACAAAAACCCAAUAAAUACUCUCCAAAAGCAGAUGGAAAAAUAUGCAGAUAUGCUUCAGGUGUUACAAAUUAA
rnacentral:rRNA from 1 species